UGCAGCUCCAGCACACAACAUAUCUAAAUUUUAGACUAUCUCUAAAUUGGGUGGUGAAUGUAGACGUUGAUGAAGUAGCACUGCAUCAAUUCAUGGGAACAGCUUCAUUAAGUUCCAGCGUCUCAGGCCCAGUUAUGUUUGUGGUAAGGCCAUCCGAACAUCAAACCCUAAUCGAGGAACAUGAAGAAGGAGGAAGACUUUGAAGGGCACGGGCGAGUCAAAACGGAAUCGUAUUCAUGGUAAAGAUCCAAUCUAAUAUCAAGUAAUUGUCGCAAGUGCGUGCAUCAAAAACUACUCAAUACAAGUUGAUUCAUCUCUCUCUUCAUUUUGACACAAUAUACAUGGAAGUGGCGUGUUAAGUUCAUUGUGACCUUUCAUGACAGGACUUCAACAUCGUUCCCAUGGCUUUAACGAGUCUGGCAUCAGCGCAUAACGAUAUUCGCGAGAAUGGCCUACCUAGGACACUGAAAUAUUUUUUUAACACAUCUGUGCAUUUAGGACAACCAUGUGGGUCUUUGCAAUAGAAUAACCAUAUGAUAAUUGCUUCUUACAACGAGACAAUUGCUUUCUUGCAGGUCUUCGCUAUUAGCAUUCCCUAACUACUCAAAGAAUGCAAGCUAUGAGCUAGGGUUGUGGCCCUUGCAAUACAAUCACACGGACCUGUCUAAACCGCGUGAAAUCAACGUCUCUUUGAAUCCUCUUGCCAAAAAUGCAUGUGAAACCGUGUGCCAAGAUGAUCACCUUACAAAUUUGGAGACCAUGAGGCAACCCAAGCAGCUCAAUGGAAUAGUAUUGUAGCGUCAUGGUUGGAGGGCAUCACAUAUUCCAGAGCAGCCCUAAUUUGAGUGUCACGCCAUUCGACAUCCAACUUUCUAAAUCCUAGCAAUCGUCGGUUAAGAUUCGGCGUUUGUCCAAGACAUCGUCCGUAGCUUCCCUCAAAUGUAGAAAGGUUUCGAAUUAGCAUUCGUGGAAUUUAGGCCUCAAUUCAUAAGGAGA
rnacentral:lncRNA from 1 species